AUCUGUGUCUGGUGUUAGCUAGUUACCGGCUAGCUAGGUCUUCAUCUGUGUCUGGUGUUAGCUAGUUACCGGCUAGCUAGGUCUUCAUCUGUGUCUGGUGUUAGCUAGUUACCGGCUAGCUAGGUCUUCAUCCGUGUCUGGUGUUAGCUAGGUCUUCAUCUGUGUCUGGUGUUAGCUAGUUACCGGCUAGCUAGGUCUUCAUCUGUGUCUGGUGUUAGCUAGUUACCGGCUAGCUAGGUCUUCAUCUGUGUCUGGUGUUAGCUAGUUACCGGCUAGCUAGGUCUUCAUCUGUGUCUGGUGUUAGCUAGUUACCGGCUAGCUAGGUCUUCAUCUGUGUCUGGUGUUAGCUAGUUACCGGCUAGCUAGGUCUUCAUCUGUGUCUGGUGUUAGCUAGUUACCGGCUAGCUAGGUCUUCAUCUGUGUCUGGUGUUAGCUAGUUACCGGCUAGCUAGGUCUUCAUCUGUGUCUGGUGUUAGCUAGUUACCGGCUAGCUAGGUCUUCAUCUGUGUCUGGUGUUAGCUAGUUACCGGCUAGCUAGGUCUUCAUCUGUGUCUGGUGUUAGCUAGUUACCGGCUAGCUAGGUCUUCAUCUGUGUCUGGUGUUAGCUAGUUACCGGCUAGCUAGGUCUUCAUCUGUGUCUGGUGUUAGCUAGUUACCGGCUAGCUAGGUCUUCAUCUGUGUCUGGUGUUAG